rnacentral:rRNA from 1 species
CCAGAAAGCCACGGCUAACUACGUGCCAGCAGCCGCGGUAAUACGGAGGGAGCUAGCGUUAUUCGGAAUUGCUGGGCGUAAAGCGCACGUAGGCGGCUUUGUAAGUUAGAGGUGAAAGCCUGGAGCUCAACUCCAGAAUUGCCUUUAAGACUGCAUCGCUUGAAUCCAGGAGAGGUGAGUGGAAUUCCGAGUGUAGAGGUGAAAUUCGUAGAUAUUCGGAAGAACACCAGUGGCGAAGGCGGCUCACUGGACUGGUAUUGACGCUGAGGUGCGAAAGCGUGGGGAGCA